rnacentral:sRNA from 1 species
GCCAGGCAUGGUGGCUCAUGCCUGUUAUCCCAGCAGCUUGGGAGGCUGAGGGAGGAGGAUCGCAAGUUCAGAGCCAGCCUCAGGAACUUAGGGAGGCCCUAAGCAACUUAGUGAGAUCCUGUCUCAA